CACCCUGACUCUGUUUGACCUGCAUGGAACUGAGCCUUAAUUAGUGUCAUUGUAAACACCUGUGUUUACUCUGCUACUUCACGUCCAAACGCCUGCUGUGUUAUAACAUGACUGUGAAACACAUUUACCUUUCGUUUACACUGCUGCUACACUCAGCUGUAAACAUAUCCAUGUACUGAUGGUCAUCUGCGGCUUGUCAAGUGUUGUGAGUACGAACACCACCGCCUCCUGCCUGUCCAGGUUGUCUUGUCUUCCUGCAUCUAAGUCACGCUGACAUUGACAUUCCUCCCCAGCCACUCUCUAAUAACCUCAGAUGGCCAGUUUCCACUGAAGCGAGGGCCGAUCUAUUGUGCCACAAAAUGUGCUGAAGGGUUUCUGGGUCGAUGAGCGCGCAUAGCUGAGAUGGAGAGAAGGAGGACAACCAGGACAAACUGGGCUCUUUUAACUCCUGAGGGAUAACAAAACAUUUCUUUCCGAGACUCGAAUUUAAAACCUGUAAAAUCAUAUCUAAAAGAAAAAAAAAAACUAAUUAUUUUUAGAUUGAGCAGCCUGAUAAUGACAGUGGCAGAGUGUACGCAUCAGCUCCACAGAGUUACUUACUCAGCAAGUUGCACCUCUGCAAUGAGCGGUUUCCUACUCGUAAAAUACUGAAGCCCUGAAGCAAAACAUGCCGUCAUAGCUACAUAAUCUCCAAUAUUGUUUAAACAAUCUAUCAGGCAGUAGCAGGUUAAGCUGUUUCACAAAUGAUGCAGAUCAUAGCAAUUAUCUCAAUAUGACAACGUCCUUGGGCUGAUCUAUUAGACCUACGGCAGCAAUUUUAUGUUUGUUUGUUUACCAGUUGUAUGCGGGUAUACAACAUGACAUAUAGCCACACAGCAGUCGUUUAUGACGAGUAAUCAAACUUAAAAUUGGCAUUUAUAUUACCUGCGGGGUGCACAUAUUUUGUGUGAGGUAUUCAACGUCAACAUACUGUAUAUCACAUGAAGUGAACCAAUGAAAAAGCCACAGCAGGAUGUAAAUAAUGAAAGCCAGGGUUCAGAUAUAUUAAAUUUGUUUUUGUUAGCAGCCUGCUUAUGUUAUUAAUAGCAGCACAUUAGAGAAUUGAAAUUUGUAUUAUAUAUUUAUUUGUAUAAUAUGUACAUGUUUUAAUGAAUUAUUAUAUUGACUA